AAAAAAAAAAAGGGUUCUGUGUAGCCCUAAGUGGAUGGCAACUGAGAGCCCUAUGAGAAUGGUGGAGAGUGGCAGAGCUACAAAGUGUCCCUCUUCUAAGGAUGCAGCUAUAUUUGGGUCACCCUUAAGUAAUAUGGCUGCAGAGAACUUGGGAUUGCUUGUGAAGGGGCAUAGAUUCCAUGGAGGUCAAACAGAUAUGAUUCCCAGUCGAAGUGGCAGUGCACCACCAAGUAUGGAGGGUUCAUUUGCUGCUAUUGGAAACCUUUUAGCUCAGCAAAACUUAAUCAUGAGUUCUAGCUUGGAAAGUUUAAGCAGUGCUAUUGAGAAUUGUGAGUCUGAGGAGCAACUGCGUUCUGAUCCAGCUUAUUUUGCAUACUAUUGCACGAAUAUCAACUUGAAUCCAAGGCUUCCCCCACCUCUAAUGUCGCGAGAAAAUAGACAACUUGUAUGUCGUUUUGGUGGUUUAGGCAAUUGGAGGUCUGCUUCUAUAGACGACAGUGGCACUAAAUCCUUGCAACUUUCUAUGCUUUCAACCCAUAAGGAAGAGCCAGAGGAUGAUAAGUCACCCAGAGGAGCAUCAGAAAAUAGCAGUGCACCUAUCUCUGGACCGAACACAACUUCUUUGGCAGGUCGUCAUAAAAGUUUGGUUGACCUGAUACAGGAAGACUUUCCUCGCACCCCAUCUCCUGUUUAUAGUCAGUCUCGUUCUUCAAGCCAUGCAGCAGAGGAAGUAGUUGAUCUGGAUACUCAUGUAAUUUCACCAAAUGUUUCCUCUGUGAACAUUUCAAAAGCAUCAGAAUCAAAUUCAGGUUCUGAUGAUGUCUGCGUCAACAGUUAUGCUUUGGAGGUAGAUGCUAUCAGGCUAAUAGCUGAUAGUAAUCCUACAGUUGCCUCUUAUCCUGGUACAUCAUGUCUUCAUGAGAAACCAAAAGACACUGGUUUGGAGGGCCAUGCGUCAGUUACCAGUACCUUUCAGUCAGGUAUUACAAGAAAGGAGCCUAAAAUUAGAAACAACAAAGAAGAGCAACGAUCUUAUGGGAGGAAUAUGCCUCAAAAUCAUCCAUCUAUGCAACAAGGCAAUCCUCAUCAGGCUCAACGAGUCCAGCCUCAAAUAAUUACUCAGCCAAUGAAUCAAUCUCACAAUAGCAUGGUAAAAUUUUCCCAUGAGCAUCCUAGGAUCUCCACUAUUGAGGUACAGCCAUCAUUGCAUUCUCCUGUACUCAACUCUCCUUCGUAUGCAUCAGUAGCAGCCUAUAUGACGGGAGGGACUCCAUUUUACCCUAACUUUCAGCCAUCUGGUUUAUAUUCUCCACAAUACGGCAUGGGCGGAUAUGCUUUAGGUUCUGCAUUCCUUCCCCCUUUUAUGACUGGCUAUCCUUCUCAUGGUGCCAUUCCUGUGCCAUUUGGUGCUUCUAGUCCAGGCUAUGGUGGCCGAACUGCUGCUUCUUCAGCUGGGGAAAACAUUCCACAAGUAGGAGGUCUGCAACACCUGGGCAAGUUUUAUGGACAACAGGGAUUAAUGCUUCAACCUUCCUAUGUUGAUCCACUUUAUAUGCAAUACUUUCAGAAUCCUUUUGGAGAUGCGUAUGGUGCUUCAUUUCAGCAGAAUCGUUUGGCAUCAAGUGGUCCCACUGGGGGACAGGCUGAUUCUUUUCUUCCUCAGAAGGAGUCAUUUUUUUCCACUUAUAGGGGUGAUCAUAAACUUCAGCCUCCAACAAAUGGCAGUCUAAGCAUGCUAAGUCCCGGAAAAGUGGGAAUUACUGGUAAUAGUUAUUAUGGAGGUCCUCCAGAUGUGGGUGUCAUGACCCAAUUCCCAGGUGCACCACUUGCCAGUCCAGUACUACCAUCAUCUCCUGUAGGUGGAAUAAAUCAUAUUGGUCAGCAGAAU
rnacentral:misc_RNA from 1 species